rnacentral:misc_RNA from 1 species
AAAAUGCGAUAAGUAAUGUGAAUUGCAGAAUUCAGUGAAUCAUCGAAUCUUUGAACGCACAUUGCGCCCACCAGUAUUCUGGCGGGCAUGCCUGUUCGAGCGUCAUUUCAACCCUCAAGCCCCCGGGUUUGGUGUUGGGGAUCGGGCUGCGGUUCUGCCGCGUCCCGGCCCCGAAAUCUAGUGGCGGUCUCGCUGCAGCCUCCAUUGCGUAGUAGCUAACACCUCGCAACUGGAACGCGGCGCGGCCAAGCCGUUAAACCCCCAACUUCUGAAUGUUGACCUCGGAUCAGGUAGGAAUACCCGCUGAACUUAAGC